rnacentral:rRNA from 1 species
GACGAACGCUGGCGGCGUGCUUAACACAUGCAAGUCGAACGGAAAGGCCCUGCUUUUGUGGUUUGCUCGAGUGUCGCACGGGUGAGUAACACGUGAGUAACCUGCCCUUUACUUUGGGGUAACUUCAGGAAACUGGGGAUAAUACCGGAUAUGAGCUCCUGCUGCAUGUUGGGGGUUGGUAAGUUUCGGCGGUUGGGGAUGGACUCGCGGCUUAUCAGCUUGUUGGUGGGGUAGUGGCUUACCAAGGCUUUGACGGGUAGCCGGCCUGAGAGGGUGACCGGCCACAGUGGGACUGAGAUACGGGCCAGACGCCUACGGGAGGCAGCAGUGGGGAAUAUUGCAAAAUGGGCGGAAGCCUGAGGCAGCAACGCCGCGUGCGGGAGGACGGCCUUCGGGUUGGAAACCGCGUUCGCCUGGGACGAAGCGUGAGUGACGGUAAUGGGUAAAGAAGCACCGGCUAACUACGUG